rnacentral:rRNA from 1 species
GUGGGGAAUAUUGCACAAUGGGCGCAAGCCUGAUGCAGCGACGCCGCGUGGAGGAUGAAGGCUUUCGGGUCGUAAACUCCUGUCUGGGGGGAUGAAUACUGACAGUACCCCCGGAGGAAGCCCCGGCUAACUACGUGCCAGCAGCCGCGGUAAUACGUAGGGGGCGAGCGUUGUCCGGAAUUACUGGGCGUAAAGCGCGCGCAGGUGGCUUGUUAAGUCAGGUGUCAAAAUGCGGGGCUCAACCCCGUACCGCACUUGAAACUGGCAGGCUUGAGUGCAGGAGAGGGAAGUGGAAUUCCUAGUGUAGCGGUGAAAUGCGUAGAUAUUAGGAGGAACACCAGUGGCGAAGGCGACUUCCUGGACUGUAACUGACACUGAGGCGCGAAAGCUAGGGGAGCAAACAGG